rnacentral:snRNA from 1 species
UUGCUUGGGUAGCACAUGCACUAAUUCUGGAGUGAUACAGAGAUUAGCAUGCCCCUGCACAAAGAUGACACAAAAAUUCAUGAAGUGUUCCAUGAAAAG